rnacentral:rRNA from 1 species
CGCGUAGGCGGACCUUCAAGUCGGAUGUGAAAUCUUGCAGCUCAACUGCAAGCCUGCAUUCGAAACUGGCGGUCUUGAGUACAGUAGAGGAAAGCGGAAUUCCAGGUGUAGCGGCGAAAUGCGUAGAUAUCUGGAAGAACACCAGUAGCGAAGGCGGCUUUCUGGGCUGAUACUGACGCUGAAGCGCGAAGGCUUGGGUAGCAAACAGGAUUAGAUACCCUGGUAGUCC